CUACGGGGCGCAGCAGUGAGGAAUAUUGCACAAUGGGGGGAACCCUGAUGCAGCAACGCCGCGUGGAGGAUGACGCAUUUCGGUGUGUAAACUCCUUUUAUAUGUCAAGAAAAUGACGGUAGCAUAUGAAUAAGCACCGGCUAACUCCGUGCCAGCAGCCGCGGUAAUACGGAGGGUGCAAGCGUUACUCGGAAUCACUGGGCGUAAAGUACGCGUAGGCGGGUUGGAAAGUCCGGUGUGAAAUCCUACAGCUUAACUGUAGAACUGCACUUGAAACUUCUAAUCUAGAGGAUGGGAGGGGGAGAUGGAAUUAGUGGUGUAGGGGUAAAAUCCGUAGAUAUCACUAGGAAUACCUAAAGCGAAGGCGAUCUCCUGGAACAUUACUGACGCUAAGGCGUGAAAGCGUGGGGAGCAAACAGGAUUAGAUACCCUCGUAGUC
rnacentral:rRNA from 1 species